AGAGUUUGAUUCUGGCUCAGAACGAACGCUGGCGGCGUGGAUAAGACAUGCAAGUUGAGCGAUGAACUGACGAUAGCAAUAUCUGACGGGAUUAGCAGCGAACGGGUGAGUAACACGUAGGAAUCUGCCCCAAAGUUCGGAAUAGCCUGGCGAAAGUCAGGGUAAUACCGGAUGUGAUCUUCGGAUUAAAGGCUUCGGUCGCUUUGGGAUGAGCCUGCGUUCCAUCAGCUUGUUGGUAGGGUAAAAGCCUACCAAGGCGAAGACGGAUAGCUGGUCUGAGAGGACGGUCAGCCACAAUGGAACUGAGACACGGUCCAUACACCUACGGGUGGCAGCAGUCGAGAAUCAUUCGCAAUGGACGAAAGUCUGACGGUGCGACGCCGCGUGGGGGAUGAAGGCCUUAGGGUCGUAAACCUCUGUCGGGUGCGAGUAAGGGUAUACAUUACGGCAUACUUAGAUAUUAGCACCAAAGGAAGGGACGGCUAACUCCGUGCCAGCAGCCGCGGUAAUACGGAGGUCCCAAGCGUUGUUCGGAUUCACUGGGCGUAAAGCGUGCGUAGGCGGAGAAAUAAGUUUGGCGUGAAAGCCCCGGGCCUAACCCGGAAAUUGCGUUGAAAACUAUUUCCCUAGAGGAUUGGAGGGGAGACUGGAAUUCCUGGUGUAGCAGUGAAAUGCGUAGAUAUCAGGAGGAACACCGGUGGCGAAGGCGAGUCUCUGGACAAUUCCUGACGCUGAGGUACGAAGGCUAGGGUAGCGAAAAGGAUUAGAUACCCUUGUAGUCCUAGCAGUAAACGGUGUGCACUUGCUGUAGGCGGAUUCGACCCCGCCUGUGGCGAAGCUAACGCGUUAAGUGCACCGCCUGGGGAGUACGGUCGCAAGAUUAAAACUCAAAGAAAUUGACG
rnacentral:rRNA from 1 species